rnacentral:rRNA from 1 species
AGUGAACGCUGGCGGUAGGCCUAACACAUGCAAGUCGAACGGCAGCACAGUAAGAGCUUGCUCUUACGGGUGGCGAGUGGCGGACGGGUGAGGAAUACAUCGGAAUCUACUUUUUCGUGGGGGAUAACGUAGGGAAACUUACGCUAAUACCGCAUACGACCUACGGGUGAAAGCAGGGGAUCUUCGGACCUUGCGCGAUUGAAUGAGCCGAUGUCGGAUUAGCUAGUUGGCGGGGUAAAGGCCCACCAAGGCGACGAUCCGUAGCUGGUCUGAGAGGAUGAUCAGCCACACUGGAACUGAGACACGGUCCAGACUCCUACGGGAGGCAGCAGUGGGGAAUAUUGGACAAUGGGCGCAAGCCUGAUCCAGCCAUACCGCGUGGGUGAAGAAGGCCUUCGGGUUGUAAAGCCCUUUUGUUAGGAAAGAAAAGCAGCAGGUUAAUACCCCGCUGUUCUGACGGUACCCAAAGAAUAAGCACCGGCUAACCUCGUG